rnacentral:rRNA from 1 species
AACGAACGCUGGCGGCAUGCCUAACACAUGCCAGUCGAACGAGACCUUCGGGUCUAGUGGCGCACGGGUGCGUAACGCGUGGGAACCUGCCCUUAGGUUCGGAAUAACUCCCCGAAAGGGGUGCUAAUACCGGAUAAUGUCUUCGGACCAAAGAUUUAUCGCCUUUUGAUGGGACCGCGUUGGAUUAGCUAGUUGGUAGGGUAAAAGCCUACCAAGGCGACGUUCCAUAGCUGGUCUGAGAGGAUGAUCAGCCACAUUGGGACUGAGACACGGCCCAGACUCCUACGGAAGGCAGCAGUGGGGAAUAUUGGACAAUGGGCGAAAGCCUGAUCCAGCAAUGCCGCGUGAGUGAUGAAGGCCUUAGGGUUGUAAAGCUCUUUUACCCGGGAUGAUAAUGACAGUACCGGGAGAAUAAGCUCCGGCUAACUCCGUG